GGGCGGGGCCUGGCGAUCCGGAUCCCGCAGGCGCGCUGGCUGCGCUGCCCGGCUGUCUGUCGUCAUGGUGGGGCCCUGGGUGUAUCUGGUGGCGGCAGUUUUGCUCAUCGGCCUGAUCCUCUUCCUGACUCGCAGCCGGGGUCGGGCGGCAGCAGCUGACGGAGAACCACUGCACAAUGAGGAAGAGAGGGCAGGAGCAGGCCAGGUAGGCCGCUCUUUGCCCCAGGAGUCUGAAGAACAGAGAACUGGAAGCAGACCCCGGCGUCGGAGGGACUUGGGCAGCCGUCUACAGGCCCAGCGUCGAGCCCAGCGAGUGGCCUGGGAAGACGGGGAUGAGAAUGUGGGUCAAACUGUUAUUCCAGCCCAGGAGGAAGAAGGCAUUGAGAAGCCAGCAGAAGUUCACCCAACAGGGAAAAUUGGAGCCAAGAAACUACGGAAGCUAGAGGAAAAACAGGCUCGAAAGGCUCAGCGAGAGGCAGAGGAGGCUGAACGUGAAGAACGGAAACGCCUAGAGUCCCAACGUGAGGCCGAAUGGAAGAAGGAAGAGGAACGGCUUCGCCUGAAGGAAGAACAGAAGGAGGAGGAAGAGAGGAAGGCUCAGGAGGAGCAGGCCCGGCGGGAGCACGAGGAGUACCUGAAACUGAAGGAGGCCUUCGUGGUAGAAGAAGAAGGUGUUAGCGAAACCAUGACUGAGGAGCAGUCUCACAGCUUCCUGACAGAAUUCAUCAAUUACAUCAAGGAAUGUUUGUGCAGGUACACUUUGACUCUAACAUUGCCUCGGGCCAGAUCCUCAGGAACCAGGCAGCAUAGAAGGGGACUCCGGAGAGCCUAGUGCCUGGUUUAUGUCACAGCUCAUUUGCUGUGGAAGAUUCACAGAAAUGCGAAGGACCGCCUUCUCUCAAAUCGUAUGCUAUAUGUGGCAAAGGUGGGGGCAGAUGCAUGCGUGGACCCAGCUGUGACUCCUUGUGUGAGCUGUUUGGAGCUAAAGUUUCUACUAAGAGUGCAAGAGCAGUCAUGAGACACGGCCCAGGACCACAGAGGGAGAACACUGUCACUGUUCACAGGGCUGCUUUGUGUGUGUUUGUAUAGUGUGGGUGCUCCCAUGUACUGGUGAGCACAGAGAUACAUAUCUGGGGGCCUUCAGGUAUUGUUUAUUCCUUGGGUACUGUCCACCUUUUUUUUCUUGCAAGGAGGAGUGAUGUACUUUGUUUUGCUGUUCUGGGACUCACCAUGCAGGCUAUCCUAGCUGGCCAGUGAGCCAAAUAGACUACCUGUCUACCUUUCCAGCAGUGAGGUUCCAAGUGCGCAGUGCUGCCACACCCAGCUGCUUGCUUGCUUGCUUGCUUGCUUUUGAGACAGGGUCUCACUCCAUUGACCAGGCUAGUCUUGAGCUCUCAGCAAUCCAUCGGCCUCUGCCUCCUGAGUUCGAGCACUGCCACUUCCAGCCACACCCAGCUUCUUUAUGUGAGUUCUAGGUAUUGGACUCACGUCCUCAGAAGCACAAAAGCACUUGCCUGGCAACCAUCUUGCCAGCCUUAGUGAUAGUUAUUUGGCCAUUCCAGGUGAGAGAGGGUUAUGCCUCAGACAGUGUGAAGAGGCUGAGUGAAAAGAAGUGUACACCUCUCAGGACAGUGGAGAUCGAAGCAGAAGAAUGUGAGGCAAACACAAGAGAGAAACAAGUCUCUGGGCCUUGUGAAAGACCUCAGGCCUGUUAUCAUCUGGUCUGUGUAUGUCUGUUUCACCAGAUAGGCUUUUAGCUCAGCGAAGUCCAAGGUUGUGCUUUUGGAAGAUCUGGCUUUCCAGAUGGGCCUAAGGACUCAGGACGCCAUAAACCGCAUCCAGGACCUGCUGACGGAGGGGACUCUAACAGGUGUGAUUGACGACCGGGGCAAGUUUAUCUACAUAACCCCAGAGGAACUGGCUGCCGUGGCCAAUUUCAUCCGACAGCGGGGCCGGGUGUCCAUCACAGAGCUUGCCCAGGCCAGCAACUCCCUCAUCUCCUGGGGCCAGGACCUCCCUGCCCAGGCUUCAGCCUGACUCCAGUCCUUCCUUGAGUGUAUCCUGUGGCCUACAUGUGUCUUCAUCCUUCCCUAAUGCCGUCUUGGGGCAGGGAUGGAAUAUGACCAGAAAGUUGUGGAUUAAAGGCCUGUGAAUACUG